UUGACCUCGGAUCAGGUAGGAUUACCCGCUGAACUUAAGCAUAUCAAUAAGCGGAGGAAAAGAAACCAACAGGGAUUGCCCCAGUAACGGCGAGUGAAGCGGCAACAGCUCAGAUUUGGAAUCUGGCCCUCGGGCCCGAGUUGUAAUCUGGAGAGGAUGCUUCUGGCGCGGUGCCUUCCGAGUUCCCUGGAACGGGACGCCGGAGAGGGUGAGAGCCCCGUACGGUUGGACACCUAGCUUCUGUGAAGCUCCUUCGACGAGUCGAGUAGUUUGGGAAUGCUGCUCAAAAUGGGAGGUAAAUUUCUUCUAAAGCUAAAUAUUGGCCAGAGACCGAUAGCGCACAAGUAGAGUGAUCGAAAGAUGAAAAGCACUUUGAAAAGAGGGUUAAAAAGUACGUGAAAUUGUUGAAAGGGAAG
rnacentral:rRNA from 1 species